rnacentral:rRNA from 1 species
UACGUAGGUGGCAAGCGUUGUCCGGAAUUAUUGGGCGUAAAGCGCGCGCAGGUGGUUCUUUAAGUCUGAUGUGAAAGCCCACGGCUCAACCGUGGAGGGUCAUUGGAAACUGGGGAACUUGAGUGCAGAAGAGGAUAGUGGAAUUCCAAGUGUAGCGGUGAAAUGCGUAGAGAUUUGGAGGAACACCGGUGGCGAAGGCGGCUAUCUGGACGACAACUGACGCUGAGGCGCGAAAGCGCGGGGAUCAAACAGG